rnacentral:tRNA from 1 species
AAAGACUUAGGUUAAUAGACCAAGAGCCUUCAAAGCCCUAAGUAAGAGUGAAACCCUCUUAAUCUUU